CUGCGCCAGGCCUGGGCGUGCCCCCGCUGCCCACCUCACCGCCCACUCUCAGCCCUCCGGUCGCUGCCUAGGGUCGCUCCCUUCCUCCCGGCCUUUGGAAACUCACCACUGGGAACUCUCACCAUGCUGCUAGACUGAAUCCGACUGCUUUUCAUCAUAUCCAAAGGCCCCUACUUCAUGAAGGCAUAGUAUUUCCCCCCCCCCAGUUCCCACCAGCCACUCCCACUUUAGGGAUCUGUGGGAGCCCCAACACCCCAACUCCCAUGCUUUCCAAAUUGCCUCCUUACACUGGAAGCUCCUCCAGGGUGGACACCAUCUUUGCUUUCAUUGGUACUAGUGUCCCCAGGGCUAAAGCACAUCAUCGGGUACUUAAAUGUUUAUGACAGACUAUAUGACAGUGGGUGUGACUGAAAAGGAAGUGCCAGAAAUUCCUUGGAGUUCAGAGAAAAAACAAUGGUGCAGAAAGGAGGAAAUCCGACUUGUGCUAGCCCUGCUUAGCUGCACAGCCCAGCUACCACAACCUGUGUCUCAGCUAACACAAACAGAGCGAAGGUCCGGGACGAGACCUGAUCUCGAGUCCUUCCCACUAUUUUGUGCUUCAAACACUAUCACUAUCACCUUUUUUCACAGAAGAAAGAGCUGUAUGUAAACAAGUACAUGUUUCCCUCUGGUGCUUAAGCUCACUAUCUAACUUCAUUGCUGCACAAAUCCACAUCCACACUGGAGUUAACCCAAGUUCUGAGUCUGGUCACAGUUUGGGUGACACAGUAUCUCAGCACUGCACAGGGGUCUGAGACCCAGGAAGCCAAGAUCUGGGAUUAGUAUUCUCAGAACACUAGACAGCUGCGAGAGGGGGAAGUUUCUUGCUGGAAAGUAGCACUGGAGAGCAACAGGAGAGGUUUAUCAAGUCCCACAUCAGCUGAGAGAAAAUACAUUUUAUUCAGGGAAAGUUAAAUGGGAAGAAGUCUGUGGAGAGGCAGACGAAACUGCAAUGAAAAAAAGUGUUGACAACUGUGAGAAGAUUCUGCUGGCAGGUAAUAGGGAAUGGGAUCAAGAACAGAGACAGGGGACCCCAGGCAUCAGUAAGAACAGAAAUAAAAAUAAUGAUACCAGGGACCUUACAAAGAGAAUCCCAAUUACUCAGUGCCUGAUAUAGGUGAUACAGUGAAAGGAAGGAUAGGAAAGAAAAAGCAAAACAGAAUCUGAGUCUGGUUCCCUGGGAAGAUGAGGAGCUCCUCUGUGGAGCAGCAAGUAGAUACAGAACAGAAAGCAUCCCCUGAGCUUUCCAGUCACCGAGAGCACAUUCAUCCACAAAGAGCCAGGCCUGAAACCAAAGGCCUCCAUCAGAUAAAGUGGGCCUGACCUUAACAGGCACUGGCUGUCACGGAGCCUUUUCUUUCCACAAGGUACAUUCUUUUCAAGAGGAAAGUAUAAAACGUGUGAGAAAAGUCACAAAAGUCAAGCAUGAAGCAAUGAGCAAAACGACAAGAACACCCAAUAGCCAAGGUCAGGAGAAACACAGCAUUGGAGGAGAUGCCUGGGGUCCCUGGGCUGAGGGCCGUGCCUCCAGGCGGUGAGGACCUCCUCCACUCCUCUGAAAUGGAGGCCAUACUCUUGUCCGGCCAACCCCACCACGUGGGGGGGCACCCCCAACGGUCUUUAAGUGCCGAUGGCGAAAGGGGCUGAUGGGGAUGAUGACGGACUCCUCCAGGGCCAGGGACCCGGCAAAUGACAGGGCCGGAUGCGCCUCGUGCUCUUUCCAUCAGGCAGCCCCAGACACUAUGGCAGCCAAGGCGGCGGGGGCCAAAUGCCGGAAGAAUACUGCCGCUUCUACAGGCACUGGGCACACCCAGGAGGCGCAUCUGUGCCCUACAAUGUCCUCACCACAUGCUGCUGCGGGCAAAAUACAGCUAAGCAUACACCCCAAACACACAGACAUUUACUUACAGACAUUCAAGUCAUGACUGAAAAGGACAGCUCACAAAUACAUAGUUCCAAAUGGGAAAAGUGCAUUAUUUGCCACGGUGUGUGUGUGUGCGCUCGCAUGUGAAACUAAAACUAAGUCACCAUGCUGCAAUUCAUUUAGUAAAGUUCUAUCUUCCAUGAUGUCAAUCAGUUAUUCUUGAGGACUAAUCCAAAAUUGUUUCAUUUUUUUUUACUUAACAAAUGCAUUCAAGAGCCACCAAAACGCUCUACUUGGAAGAUUUUUUAAAAGGUUAGAAAAUUAAGUUUCUAAGUUUGUUUUUUUUUAAGUGUAUAAAUACUGGCGAGUAUUUAUUGGGCAGUGAGGGGGCACAGAGCUAGAACUGGUCAGGAAGAUUCAUUUUUCUGAGUCAAAAUCUGAUCUCAGACACUUCCUAGCUACGUGAUACCAACAGCAAGUCCCCUUGCUUGCCUCAGUUUCCUCCUCUAUAAAAUGAGCUGUGGAAGGAAAUGGCAAUUUACUUCAUUCAGCAUCUUUGCCAAGAAAAUCCCACAUGGGUUCCCAAGGAGUUGGACACAUUUGAAAUGAAUGAAUGAAAAAAAUAGAUAUGAGCUAUUUUAUGUGUCACAUGGUUGUAAAAUCACAUAAUGAUAGGAACAUUUUUAAAUUCAGGCUUAAAAAUUCUCCCUCCCUAAUGAGCUUAUUUCAAAAAGCAGGAGCUUUCAUUAUUAGCGGUGCUCUUUGGCUCAGCACUAAGCUAGAUAGGAUAUUAACUCAAAUAUAUAACACCAAAAGCCAUUUCCCCCUUGAAGAAAUAGUCAAAGAAUACUUUUUUAAAUACUUCUCAAAUAAAAAUACACUAAGCUACUAAUAGCCAUAAGUAUGACUGCUUCAAAAAUCAUUAACAUGAAGAGAAAUGUAAAUCAAAACAACUCUGCAAUUAUUUCUCAACAGCCAUGCAAACUAGCAAAGCUGAUAGAAGAUGAAUAGAGUCACCAAUAAAGAAGUUAAGAUAAAAUAAGCCCAUUAAUAAUACUGUUAGUAGAGAUAAAGGGAUCUAACCACUUGUAUAAGCAACUUAACACUAUGUGAGAAAAGAUACCAUGGGCAAAAUUUAUCCUAUCCUUUGACCCAAAGAGCUCCCUGCAACAUAUAUCCCAAGGAGUUUCAAGAUAGAAAGGGCUAAAAUACACAUGGCAGCUCUUUUUGGUAGGAGCACACAUCUAAAAACAAAGUAAAUACCCAUGGCACCCAAAUGUGACUAUUUCUGUGCCAUUAAAAAAAUGCAUAUGGAGAACGCAGAAGGCAAGGGAGUCUUAUGAAGAACCAAGAAAACAAUCCACAAUGAUAAGUUAAAUGAAAUUGAAUGCUGGGAAAUUAUGACUAAACUUGUUUUGAGGACAUGAAAGGAUACCUCCCGCUCUUAUUUGAAAAAGCUAAAUGAGUGACUAUGAAUGUAGAUAGAAUACUGCAUAUACUGAACCUGGGAGUUUUUCUAAAGUAUAUUUUUUCCCUCUUUCUUUUUAUUUUUUAUUAUACGGGAUGGCUCCUUGAGUAGGAGAAAGAGAUGGUUCUACUGGACAAAAAGGUGACAUAAAAACAAAUGUUCUAAUUGUUUUUAAAAUAUCAUCCAUACCUGGAGGGAACAGAUUAUGUGGACUUUUAUUUUGGGGUUUUUUUUUUAAACAUUGCUAAGUAGCAGUAUUCUUGGACAGUCCACGGUAAACGUCAGCAAAUUUGAGGGGGGAAAAGAUAAGAAAGGAAAGGAAAGAGGAAAGGAAUAAGGAAAGGAAAGGAGAAGAAAGGAGAGGGAAGGAAAGAAAGGAAAGGAAGAAAUGAAGAAAAAAAGAAAGAAAAAAAAAAGAUUUUUUAAAACACUCUGCCAAAAGAUAACUGCCAAAUCUCUAUGUGUAGAAACUGGAAUUUUCUGACUAUGUGGGGUGAAGGAGACUUAAGCGUCACCUCGGCAACUAGGAUACCGAGUGGGGGCGGGGGGGUGGGGGGGGGAGCUUUACAACAGGAAAGUCCAAAAGGGGAAUGUGGUAACGGCCUAGCCUAAGAUGGGGAUGGGGAAGAGGAGAGGGUACUCCUGCUCAGGAGCCCAGACCCAACGAGGUACACAAUCACAAAAAGUGGGUACCACAGGGGGAAGGAAGGGACCUUCUCCAAGACAGCUGCACAGCAGCAGCCAGGAAUGGCCGAGUCAGAUCAUGCAGCCAGGGGUAUUCCUGGCACAGAAUAGGGAAGUCAAUUCAUUUCCUGAGAGUUCUUGGUAUCUUGGAGGUUUUGUGUUUCUGUUCUCUGAAAAUCCUAAAAUGAUUUCCUGACAUACAGACACAUGAGGGUGCUCUAGUCAACCAAUAAUGGAAGGAAAGCAAUUUUCAGAAAAAGAUCUUUUCCUACUUCUUCACAAUUAUUGUUAUUCCUUAUAGAGGACACUACCACAUAUUCUAGCACCUCCUGUUUGAAGUGAAAUACUGCCUCUUACCAUUAGUCAACUGCUCUAAUAAACUUUGAACAAUUUUUAGCAGUUAAAAUUCCCUCAAGGAAAAAAUAAAAUAUGUGCCCAGAUCAGAUUCACAGAGAAAUAAAAUGAUUAAGAAAAACCAACUUUUGGCAAUACAUAUUCAUCAAAGUGGUGAUAUAGGAAGGGCUUUUGUUCAAACCUGUACCAACUACAUGUUAACUGAAUCCUCAUGAUGUGUGAGAUGCCCUACCAGAUGUAAGCACACAAUAACAAGAGUCUCUGCCCACAAAGUGCCACGCGCCUACAAUGGGGGGGGAGGGGGAUGGCAUUUGGACUGAAGCUCUCUCCUUUUACUGUGUGGAAAAGGUGAGCAAGUCCUUCCCUUUCCAUGAGCCUCGGGCCUUCAGAUUUCCCUCCUGAUCCCCAAGCUCCAGGCACCCUGCUUAUAUUCAGGCUCCUCUAGAAGAAACCCAUUCCCCUGGGCCCGUGCCCGCCAGCCAUCUCUUCGUCUCUACCUUCUCUCCCCAUCUCAGCUCUCACUUUCAGGACCCUUUAAAUGUAUUGUCUUCUCCAUUAAAAUCCAAGCUCCUCUAGAAGAGGAACUGUCUGUUCUCUAGUAUUUGCACUUACCACAGUGCCAAGAACA